CUACGGGUUGCUGCAGUUAAGUAUCUUCUGCAAUGCGCGAAAGCGUGACAGAGCGAGCCAGAGUGUUUCUCAUUUUUGGGAGACUUUUGCCAAAUGUAAAUAGUUUGGCGAAUAGGGACCGGGAAAGACUGGUGCCAGCCGCCGCGGUAAUACCAGCGGUUCAAGUCGCAGCCACAUUUAUUGGGUCUAAAACAUCCGUAGCUUGUUUUGUAAGUCUCUUGUGAAAUCCCAUGUCUCAAAUAUGGGGCGUGCAAGAGAUACUGCAGAGCUAGAGACUGGAAGGCGUAAGAAGAACGUGUGGGGUAUCGGUAAAAUGAGUUGAUCCUGCAUGGACUAACGACAGCGAAGGCAUCUUACGAGUACAGUUCUGACAGUGAGGGAUGAAGGCUAGGGUCGCGAAAGGGAUUAGAUACCCUCGUAGUC
rnacentral:rRNA from 1 species